AUAUCAGAAGGCACACCCGGAGAACUGAAACAUCUUAGUACCCGGAGGAAGAGAAAGAAAAUUCGAUUCCCUUAGUAGCGGCGAGCGAAACGGGAAGAGCCCAAACCAACAAGCUUGCUUGUUGGGGUUGUAGGACACUCUAUACGGAGUUACAAAGGACGACAUUAGACGAAUCAUCUGGAAAGAUGAAUCAAAGAAGGUAAUAAUCCUGUAGUCGAAAAUGUUGUCUCUCUUGAGUGGAUCCUGAGUACGACGGAGCACGUGAAAUUCCGUCGGAAUCUGGGAGGACCAUCUCCUAAGGCUAAAUACUCUCUAGUGACCGAUAGUGAACCAGUACCGUGAGGGAAAGGUGAAAAGCACCCCGGAAGGGGAGUGAAAUAGAACCUGAAACCGUGUGCUUACAAGUAGUCAGAGCCCGUUAAUGGGUGAUGGCGUGCCUUUUGUAGAAUGAACCGGCGAGUUACGAUUUGAUGCAAGGUUAAGCAGUAAAUGUGGAGCCGUAGCGAAAGCGAGUCUGAAUAGGGCGUUUAGUAUUUGGUCGUAGACCCGAAACCAGGUGAUCUACCCUUGGUCAGGUUGAAGUUCAGGUAACACUGAAUGGAGGACCGAACCGACUUACGUUGAAAAGUGAGCGGAUGAACUGAGGGUAGCGGAGAAAUUCCAAUCGAACCUGGAGAUAGCUGGUUCUCUCCGAAAUAGCUUUAGGGCUAGCCUCAAGUGAUGAUUAUUGGAGGUAGAGCACUGUUUGGACGAGGG
rnacentral:rRNA from 1 species